UUUCCCCCUAUGUUUUUAGUUAUAUUCAAAUAAAGUUUACCAUUUCUACCACGCAUGUUAUUUUUAGAGAGGCACAUAUACGGGUCCUAUCUUGGGUCCUUCGUGAGAGACGUAUAUAAAGCGCCGUCCCGCCCGGCAUCGUUGUCUCGUCAUCCAGGAAUGUGUCUAGUUGGAAGUGGAUCAGGCCACCAAGGAUCUCUGAGGACCUGUGACCUAGUGCCAUGAGCUGACUGUUAACAUCAAACAUCAGGUCAGUACUCGUGAUGCUCCAGAUUCCUUGAUUUGCAGGCAUGUUAGAAGGCCCUGCAGUUUCUUGUGAUGUCUUUGCACUGGGCUCUGAUUUAAUCUGAGGAUAACGUGCCUCCCUGCCCCUGACAAGGCAGGGCCUGAUGGAAAUUACAUGCAGAUUGUCCGCUUUUGCACGGUCAUACUUGUUCUGAUCCAUGUCUUGUGCUUGCAGAUGCUGUAUCUUCCUCAAUGGUGCCAUCUAGUGAGUGAUCGCUGAAAGUACAUCCAAAUAAUAUCGCGUAUUUUGUUUGUCCAAAUAAUGCCAAUAUUUCUUUGAAUAAAACUAUCUUUGUAACUAAUGUGUCUUUUAUUACAGGAGGGGCAAUCGACACUUGAUUAAUAUUUAGAAACUUACAAUUAUUUAAUUACAUCUCUAUCCUCCAUUGACCAUAAAGGGUUACGCACAGAGCAUUGUUGUCUUGACUAAUAUCAGACAAUACGCAGGCCUAGACAAUAAAAUCUGUGUUCAAACACAAUUAAAAUAUCAAUCUGCUGAAAUGAAAAAGCAAUUAAUGCAGGCACCUA
ensembl:lncRNA